CAUGCAAGUCGAGCGGUAGAGAGAAGCUUGCUUCUCUUGAGAGCGGCGGACGGGUGAGUAAUGCCUAGGAAUCUGCCUGGUAGUGGGGGAUAACGUUCGGAAACGGACGCUAAUACCGCAUACGUCCUACGGGAGAAAGCAGGGGACCUUCGGGCCUUGCGCUAUCAGAUGAGCCUAGGUCGGAUUAGCUAGUUGGUGGGGUAAUGGCUCACCAAGGCGACGAUCCGUAACUGGUCUGAGAGGAUGAUCAGUCACACUGGAACUGAGACACGGUCCAGACUCCUACGGGAGGCAGCAGUGGGGAAUAUUGGACAAUGGGCGAAAGCCUGAUCCAGCCAUGCCGCGUGUGUGAAGAAGGUCUUCGGAUUGUAAAGCACUUUAAGUUGGGAGGAAGGGCCGUUACCUAAUACGUGAUGGUUUUGACGUUACCGACAGAAUAAGCACCGGCUAACUCUGUGCCAGCAGCCGCGGUAAUACAGAGGGUGCAAGCGUUAAUCGGAAUUACUGGGCGUAAAGCGCGCGUAGGUGGUUUGUUAAGUUGGAUGUGAAAUCCCCGGGCUCAACCUGGGAACUGCAUUCAAAACUGACUGACUAGAGUAUGGUAGAGGGUGGUGGAAUUUCCUGUGUAGCGGUGAAAUGCGUAGAUAUAGGAAGGAACACCAGUGGCGAAGGCGACCACCUGGACUGAUACUGACACUGAGG
rnacentral:rRNA from 1 species